rnacentral:pre_miRNA from 2 species
UGUGAGUGUUUCUUUGGCAGUGUCUUAGCUGGUUGUUGUGAACAAUAGACAAGGAAGCAAUCAGCAAGUAUACUGCCCUAGAAGUGCUGCACA